GAUGAAGAACGUAGUGAAAUGCGAUAAGUAAUGUGAAUUGCAGAAUUCAGUGAAUCAUCGAAUCUUUGAACGCACCUUGCGCUCCUUGGUAUUCCGAGGAGCAUGCCUGUUUGAGUGUCAUUUAAUUCUCAACCCCUCUAGCUUUUGUGGCUGGUUUGGGGCUUGGAUGUGGGGGAUUGCGGGCCUCUACAGAGGUCGGCUCCUCUGAAAUGCAUUAGCGGAACCGUUUGCGGGUCUGUCACUGGUGUGAUAAUUAUCCUACCAACGACGACUGCUCUCUGGCAAUUCUGCUCCUAAUUGUCCUCAUUGUGGGACAACAAUAUAUUAAUGCUUGACCUCAAAUCAGGUAGGACUACCCGCUGAACUUAAGCAUAUCAAUAAGCGGAGGA
rnacentral:misc_RNA from 1 species